CAUCUACAGAUUACCCAUUAACCUCUGAUUCCUCAGUAAAUUCUGCAACACAAACAGUUACAGAAUACCCAUAUUCUUUAUUAACAUCAUUAGCAGAUCACCGAACAUCUGGAUUUACAGAAGUUUUAUCUACAUCUGAAUCGACAGAAAGUUUGUCAACACGAUUAGCUACAGUUUCACCAGAUACUUCAUCAGAAAUUUCUACAGCAUCACCAUAUACUGCACUAGAAUUAUCAACAGAUUACUCAUCAACACCUCACUCCCUAGGAGCUGUAACAUUGCCAGUUUUGGUGUCACCAUUUACCUCACCAAAAACAUCCACAUAUCCAUCAUCCAUAUCAGAACCUCCAAACAUGUUAUCAACCUUUGAAUCUCCAGAAGUUCUGUCAUUACCAUCCGAUACAGGAUCACCCAUAACUUUACCAGAAUCAACUACAGAUCACUCAACAUAUUCCAAAGCUUCGGAAACAUUGUCAACACCAUUGGAUAUAGCAGAACCAUCUACUUCACUACAAUCAUCAACAGAUCAGUCAAUAGCACCUGAAUUUCAAGACAUUUUCUCAACAUCUAUCUCCCCGGGAAGUUUAUCAACAUCAUCAGUGACAUCAUCCAUCAUUUCCGUCACAUCUUCAGCAAUCAAAGUUACAACCGCUGAGCCCUAUCAAUCAACAUCAAGAACUUCCUUAACCACCUUUCCAAAAAUACUUGGAACAACAAUUUCAACACCAACCAACACAACCACCAACUCUGGAAAAACACCAACAAUGCUUCCAAAUACAACAAACACAACAGCUAGACCAGCAACAACAAAAAACAUCACAACCAUCUCUCCAACAAAUACAGUUACAACUCUAUCAAAAACCAUGGUGUCAACGUCAGUGAUUACAACUACCUCUCCAAAAAUAUCCACAACCUUCGGAAAAAUAAGUACAGCUUCUUCAACAAGAAGUAUAACAACUUCCUCUGAAAAUACAACUCAUUCAACAACAAGCAGCAAACACAGCACUCCAGGAACAUCUACAACCCCUCCAACAACCACCAACAAAACCACUUCUUCCCAGAUUAUUCAACCAUCAACAGCUCCACCAUUGACAGUGUUUGCCCAAGCAGUGGUUAGAAUGCUAUCUGUCACUGAACUAAGCAAGGAUCAAAUUGUUACCUAUAUAAAUGAGUUUUCCAGACUCAUCCAAGCUAAUGUUAAUGGAAACAUUAAGAUUACAGUGAAGCAAAUACAAAAAGUCACACCUUAAGGAUCACCUGUGGCAAUCAAUUAUUGAUCAACUCAUUUCCGUAAAUGCUUCAUAAGUUCUGACAUAUUUUACAUAUCUUUUAUUUGUCAAGGUCACAUAACCAUUAUUUGUGAGUGUUUUAAAAAGGCUUUCCCCCAUCCACAGUAAAACACACACGCGCACACACACACACACACACAAAAAAAAAGAUAUAUAUAUACCUUAUAAAACACCAACUAAUCACACUUCAGCCC